CAUAAACUUGCCCCUAACGGAAAUUAACCAGCUCCCACUAACUGACACCUACCUACAAAAUGAUGAAAAAUUUUCAGAAACAGUUUCCUACUUGGCAACUAUAGGAGGGUUAGGUGCAAAGCAAGUAAUGCAUCGCUUGCUAUCCUCUGUCCUCCACCAAGAUCUUGCUGUGAUGCUGAAUUGGAAAGGCAGAGGCGAAAAGCAUGCAUUUCAUCAAUACCGAAGAAUAAUUUUAUGUAUUUUCCGUGCAGCACAAGCCAAUGCUCAAGAUUAUACAUUGAACAACGCAGAAGUGUUUAUUAAGAGUUGGCUGAGGUUUGCCCCUGACCGGAAUGGGACACGCAAAAAAAAU